rnacentral:rRNA from 1 species
GCGCACGGGUGAGUAACACGUGAAUCAUCUACCCCCGAGUGGGGAAUAACCUAGAGAAAUCUGGGCUAAUACCGCAUAACACUUACGAGUCAAAGCAGCAAUGCGCUUGGAGAGGAGUUCGCGGCCGAUUAGUUAGUUGGCGGGGUAAUGGCCCACCAAGACUGUGAUCGGUAUCCGGCCUGAGAGGGCGCACGGACACACUGGAACUGAAACACGGUCCAGACUCCUACGGGAGGCAGCAGUGGGGAAUUUUGCGCAAUGGGGGAAACCCUGACGCAGCAACGCCGCGUGGAGGAUGAAGUCCUUCGGGGACGUAAACUCCUUUCGAUCGGGACGAUAAUGACGGUACCGGAAGAAGAAGCCCCGGCUAACUUCGUGCCAAGCAGCCGCGGUAAUACGAGGGGGGCAAGCGUUGUUCCGGAAUUAUUGGGCGUAAAGGGUGCGUAGGCGGUUUGAUAAGUCACAUGUGAAAUCUUCGGGCUCAACCCGAAGUCUACAUGCGAAACUGUCGGGCUUGAGUAUCGAAGAGGGAAGUGGAAUUUCCGGUGUAGCGGUGAAAU